UACAGAGGGUGCGAGCGUUGUCCGGAAUCACUGGGCGUAAAGGGCGCGUAGGUGGUGGCUUAAGCGUGCGGUGAAAGCUCGGGGCUCAACCCCGAGUCGGCCGUGCGAACUGGGCUCACUGGAGCAUAGUAGAGGCAGGUGGAAUUCCGGGUGUAGCGGUGGAAUGCGUAGAGAUCCGGAAGAACACCGGUGGCGAAGGCGGCCUGCUGGACAGUGACUGACGCUGAGACGCGAAAGCGUGGGGAGCAAACAGG
rnacentral:rRNA from 1 species